GGAGGGAUCCAGUGGAACCCACUUGGUGACAGAGAGCACAAGAACACAAUAUACUCCCUCACAAAUACACAUAUAGGAAGGAAUUCCUCACAAUUUCCACGGAGAAGAGAACAACCACUCCAUUUUUCCAUUUUUCUUUUCUGAAUAACACAGACCACAUCCAUGAAAUUCAUCACUGUAGUACGUACCAACACACAUAUAUAUCACCAGAAAACACUCACAGUCACCGGAAUCCGACCCUCUCCCAUCAGUUUAGUUGCCAUCUGAGCUCUGGAGUUCCAGCCAUACGUCCUUUUCUUGGUUUUUGUGACAAAUUCAGAUAUUUGUUGGUUCACUGCUCUUGGCAGAAUUUUGUUCGUGUAUUGUUUGUUCUGCGCUAUUUUAUCUUGGGGUCAUUGGAAGACGGUCAAAGGGAUGCAUACCGGAGCUGGGGGUUCGAGUUGAAGUUCCAAAUCAAGGUUCUUCGGCAUACGGAUUCAUACUCUCGAUUGACUGAUAUUCGGAGUAAAAUCAUCAUUGAGGUCCAUUUCUAUUCCUUUUCUCUUUUUAUUUCAUUGUUGAAGGAAUAUGGUUCAUUGGAUGGAAUCUAUGUGUUGUUUGAUCUUGAUUAGUGAUUAAUUGCUACUUUGAUAUUCACUUGUUGCUUAGUUUCAUUGAAAUAGAAAUCGUGAAUUGAGGAAAAUUAGCGUUAAAAGGGAAUUUGGGGUGUGAGAAUUGAAAACUUGAUAUAAUUGGUGAAUUUUGAUUAGUUUGAUUCAUGGGUUGUUUGACUCGAAAUGAACGUUAAUUGAACUUGGUAGUAUCAUGAUACGUCAAUUGGUUUAGGCAAACAUAGAUUGGGUGGCAAACAUAUCAGUAAAAGGUGAAUGUUAUGGUAUUUUGAUUCAUUGUUGAUGGCGAACAUUAAUAGUAUCAUGUUUUAGAUCGAGAAUUGAUAGGCAAAUCGUAGGUUCGGGUAGACAAAUUUAGGAAUAAUGUUUGGUUGAAUGCUUGAAAUCCGUGUUGAAUGGCUUGGUAUGUUCACUUUUUGGAUCAAAUGUAUCAUUUGGCCAGGGAAUGCCCCGAGGGAUUUGUAUUGAUUUAUCCGGGGAAUGCCCUGAAGUAUUUUGUUGGCGGCAGAAGUUCGUGAUGAAGGCCCGAGGCGUCGGUUAAAGCACGGGAACGUAGUUAGGAUUAGUAUAGGUUAGAUAGGAUUUAUUUUCGCAUUUUUUAUUUUGGGACUGUAUAACUCGGACUGGACUUUAUUUUGGUUUUGAACUCUGUUUGAUUUGUUGGUUGCUUGUUUUACGUGUUUUUGUGUGGUUUAUACAUUUGUGAUGUGAAAUUAGCUGAUAUGCUCCGCCAAGCGACCAUGAUCGAACCACGGGAUCGAGGGGUGCCUAACACCUUCCCCUCGGUCAACAGAAUUCCUUAGCCGGAAUCUCUAUUCGCAAAUCAGUUGAAAGAGUCAAAUUGUUUUGAAAAGGAACUUUUAAAGGUGACUUGGCACACUGGAUUAUGUCAAGUGGCGACUCUGAAUAAAAAAUUUAAAUAAUCUUUUUUUGAAACAAAUUUUCAAUCUUUUGUCACUUUAAUAAUAAAAAUCCUUUCGACCCUUAAAAUAAUAAUCUUUUUUUUGUUGAAAAAAG
rnacentral:lncRNA from 1 species